AUGGAAGGCGCAUGGCUCGAGCAUCUUCAUGGCUCUUGAGAGCGGAAGCAGGACCAGCGGGAUGAACCGCAAAGCUGAGCUCCUGGGCAGGGAGCGCUUCAGCUUUGUGGUGCCUCUCCUGACCUCUCAGGCGGUCGGCUGAGGUACGCGCGAGCACGAAUCGGCAAGUCACAAAACGGCAAUGGUGAACUCCGGCAGGAGUCUA
rnacentral:sRNA from 12 species